AAAUUGAUGCAAAUGAUUCAUCCCCAUGUAAAGAAUGGAGAAGAUUUGUGAGAUUGCUUUUAAUUGUUGAUUCAUCCCUAUGCAUUUUUCUUGGGCAAAUACGAAUAUAUACAUGCUUACUUUGAUGCCUAAAAGCUUUGGAAAGUUGCAAAAAUGUCUCUGUACUCUCUGUCGUUGUUCCUGAUGUUUGGCUCGCGAGCCAGCUCGAGCUGGACCGAGCCAAAGGCAAGCUCGAGCCGAGCCCCUUUUUCAGGCUCGUGAGACAAACGAGCCAGCCCGAGCCGAGCCAAUUUGGAGCGAGCGAAACUCAGGCUCGCGCCGAGCCCAGCUCGAGCUGGCUCGUGUCCAGCCUUACAGACGACGACGACAAACAGCAGAGGCGAGCGAUCGCCUGCGUUUACUCGUCGCAUACCGGCUCAUGGGGUAAUCUCAUCUCAACGCAACUUCCAUCCGAGGUUUCUGGCAGUGACGAUCCCAUUGAUAUUGGUGAUUUCCCCUCCUUGGUUUAUACUGGUAAACCUGAUGUGCUUGCUGGGAAUUCCAUCUACUGGAUGGUCAAUGGGAAUUUCGUUGGAAUUCUAGAGUUCGAUUUGGGAAAGCAAAGCCUAGCUGUGAUACGGGUGCCAGCGCGUAUGCUUGAACAUGGCCAUUUCUGGAUUGUGCGGGCACAGGGGGGUGGCCUUGGUCUACUCUUCCUCACGGACAGCAACCUCCAAUCGUGGAAUUGGAGGAUUGAUUGUGAUGGUGUUGCUUCAUGGGCACUUGCAAGAACUAUUGAACUGAAUAAGCUACUUUCCCUAGAUACAAAUACCAAGAUAGUACUAGGUUUUGCUGAGGAAAACAACGUGGUGUUCCUGUGGGCACUUGGCGUUGUCUUUAUGGUAUAUCUUGAGUCAUUGCAGUUCAAGAAACUACUUGAAACCAACACCCCUUCUCAUUAUCAUCCAUUCGAAAGUGUCUACACUGCAGAAACAGGAAUUGGUGGUGGACAUGAUGCAACUGAUCUUUUACACCACACAUAAGAUGAUUGUCUGGUUAAAUAUGCUAGUGGGAUGUACUAAUUGAGCAGAUCUAUCUAGGAUCAAAUUCCGGUGGCUGAGAUGCAGAAAUGGGUUGUGUGCUCCAUCCAAAAAUUGGCCCUAUGUACUGGUCAAUUGUGAAGUCUGGCUUGUACCAGGAAUUAAUGGCUUCAUUUGCUAAAUUACUGUCUAUUAUCUAUUCUCUGUAGACAUUUGUCAGCUGGCAUGAGAACAGAGCGACUUGUUUGGUAUUGACCCUGGCAGUCAAUCGUGGGUUCAUUUGCUUAUGCCUUUCAAGCGGGCACGUUGAGGCAGGUCACCUCUUGGUUGUGUACUUGUGUGUGUACACCUCAUUUCAGUAUUGUUUACUUAUGCCCCAUAUUGUCAGUUUGAGAUUUCAACUUUAAA